AAACAGGCGAAUGUAAAAACAGGCGAAUGAGUAAAACGCACUAAUCAAUUAGUCGAACGCGGCAAAUAGGCGAAUGUGCUAUAUCCCGGUGAAACUAACGAAUGGUCUGGAUUCGUGAAUUCAGCCGGACUGCAUGAUACAUGCACAAAACAGCCGAACGGAACGGGGAAAGCAGCGCAAAAUAGCGCCAGAGGACAGGGAGAGGAGAGAUGGCAAGAAAAAGAAUAAGAG